ensembl:lncRNA
GUGUGGCGGGGGUGUCCCCUGCGGCUGUUCACGGUGGCGCUGCUGGAGGACAACAGUGAGCGGCUGCGGCGGCUGCUGGAGGCGGUGGCGCGACGUCGGGCGCUGCCCGCCCAGGUGGAGGUGGUGGAGCUGCACGACUCGGCGGUCUCUGAGUACACCUACGAGCGGACGCUGAUGAUGGAGCAGCGCUCUCAGAUGCUGCGGCAGCUGCGCCGCGCACAGGGAGGCCCCGCCCCCUCGCAGCCGCCGAGCGCCGAGGAGGAGGAGGGGGGGGGAGGGGAGACCCGGCGGGGACCCAGCGCGUGAGUGACACCGCGGCCUUAUACUGGUUUAUACUGGGAGGGACUGGGGGGCACUGGGAGGGACUGGGGGGGGCUGGGAGGGAACUGGUUUAUACUGGUUUAUACUGGUUUAUACUGGGAGAGACUGGGGGGGACUGGGAGGGACUGGGAGGCUGAAAGGAGACACUGGUGGUUACUGCUCUAUACUGGUUUAUACUGGUAUAUAUUGGUCUAUACUGGUUUAUACCAGUCCAUACUGGUUUUUAUUGGUUUAUACUGGUAUACGUUGGUCUAUACUGGUUCAUACUGGUUUAUACUGGUAUUAUCAGUCUAUACUGGUUUAUAUCAGUCUAUACUGGUUUAUACUGGUCUAUACUGGUGUAUAUCAGUCUAUACUGGUUUAUGCUAGUUCAUACUGGUUUAUACUGGUAUAUACCAGUCUAUACUGGUCCAUACUGGUCCAUACUGGUAUAUAUCAGUCCAUACUGGUCUGUACUGGUCUAUACUGGUACAUAUUAGUUCUAUAUUGGUUUAUACUGGUUUAUACUGGUCCAUACUGGUUUAUAUUGGUCUGUAAUGGUUUAUACUGGUCCAUACUGGUUUAUACUGGUCCCAGGGCGAACGUGCGCCGCAUGCACGCGGCCGUUAUACUGGUAUAUAUCAGUCUAUACUGGUUUAUAUCAGUCUAUAGUGGUCCAUACUGGUCCAUACUGGUUUAUACUGGUCUAUAUCAGUCUAUACUGGUUUAUACUGGUAUAUAUCAGUCUGUACUGGUAUAUAUCAGUCUAUACUCGUUUAUAUUGGUUUGUACUGGUUUAUACCAGUCUAUACUGGUCCAUACUGGUCCAUACUGGUUUAUACUGGUCCCAGGGCGAAUGUCCGCCGCAUGCACGCGGCCGAGCGCCUCAACGCCGCCAUCUUGGGGCGCUCGGGGGGGGCGGGGCUGGUGCUGCUGGACCUGCCGCCCCCUCCCCCACCCCGGCCCCGCCGGCCCAUGGAGAACUACCUGGAGUUCCUGGAGGUUCUGACCGAGGGCCUGGGGCCGGUGCUGCUGGUGCGGGACGGGGACGGCGAGGGAGACCAGUAUGGAACUGGGAGCACUGGGAGCACUGGGAACGGCACCGGGGAGCCCUGAGAGACCAGUGCUUCCAGUAUGGAACUGGGAAUGGGAAACUGGGAGCACUGGGAAUGGGGAACUGGGAGCACUGGGAAUGGGGAACUGGGAGCACUGGGAAUGGCAAACUGGGCAAACUGGGAGCACUGGGAAUGGGAAACUGGGAGCACUGGGAAUGGGGAACUGGGAGCACUGGGAAUGGGGAACUGGGAGCACUGGGAAUGGAACUGGGAGCACUGGGAACGGCACCGGGGAGCCCUGAGAGACCAGUGCUCCCAGUAUGGAACUGGGAAUGGUCCCAGUACUCCCAGUAUGGAACUGGGAUGGGCCCAGUGCUCCCAGUAUGGCCCCAGUGCCCUCCCAGUGCUCCCAGUAUGGAACUGGGAUGGGCCCAGUGCUCCCAGUAUGGGACUGGGAUGGUCCCAGUGCUCCCAGUAUGGAACUGGGAUGGGCCCAGUGCUCCCAGUAUGGAACUGGGAAUGGGCCCAGUGCUCCCAGUAUGGGACUGGGAUAGGCCCAGUGCUCCCAGUAUGGGACUGGGAUGGGCCCAGUGCUCCCAGUAUGGAACUGGGAUGGUUUUUUGCACUUUGAUCUCACCAAAGACCCUCAAUAAACGACCCAAAAAUGGAAUUUUUGGGAGAAAAAGGAGCCGGAAGUUGCAGUUCUUGAGCGCGGAAGGCGGAAUUCUGGGCAAAUUGGGAAUUCUUUGGGAUUUUGGGGUCCCUGAGGGGAAUUUUGGGUUUCCCUGGAGGAAUUUUGGGGAUUUUUGGCAUCCCUGAGGGGAUUUUGGGGUUCCUUGAGGGGAAUUUUGGGGUUCCCUGAGGGGAUUUUGGGGUUCCCUGAGAGGAUUUGGAGUUCCCUGAGGGGAUUUUGGGGUUCCCUGACGGAAUUUUGGGGAUUU